rnacentral:rRNA from 1 species
GUCACUUAAUUCGAUAAUCCACGCACUUUAUAACCUGAUUUUGAAUCUCAGCUUGUAUACUUCUGUCGUCAGUAAACCUCUAUAAGAUAGUUUACAAUAAUAUUAACCUAUAUUUACGUCAAGUCACUGUGCAGCCAAUAACCAGGAGUAGAUGGGUUACAAUCUUAAUCAAGAAACGAACAAUUUUCUAAAUAGAAAUACUAAAGGUGGACUUGAAAGUAAUGAUCUUCUAUCAUUAAUUAAUAUCUAAGACAUGCACACAUCGCCCGUCGCUCUCAUU